GGUGGAGCGGGUAGGAAACAGCAAAUACAGAAGCUACUGCGCGGGAGUCGGCCAUGGACUGGAAAGAAGUUCUUCGCCAGCGCUUAGCGACACCCAACACCCGUCCAAACAAAAAAAAAAAAAGUGAACAAGAAUUAAAAGAUGAAGAAAUGGAUUUAUUUACAAAAUAUUACUCUGAAUGGAAAGGAGGUAGAAAAAACACAAAUGAAUUCUAUAAGACCAUUCCCCGGUUUUAUUAUAGGCUGCCUGCUGAAGAUGAAGUCUUACUGCAGAAAUUAAGAGAGGAAUCAAGAGCUGUCUUUCUACAAAGAAAAAGCAGAGAACUGUUAGAUAAUGAAGAAUUACAGAACUUAUGGUUUUUGCUGGACAAACACCAGACACCACCUAUGAUUGGAGAGGAAGUGAUGAUCAAUUAUGAAAAUUUUUUGAAGGUUGAUGAAAAGUCUGGAGCAAAGUGCAACAAUUUUUCACAGCAAAAGUCUUCGCUAAACUCCUUCAUACAGAUUCAUAUGGAAGAAUUUCCAUCAUGCAGUUCUUUAAUUAUGUCAUGAGAAAAGUUUAACUUCAUCAGACAAGAAUAGGACUCAGUUUAUACGAUGUCGCUGGGCAGGGGUACCUUCGGGAAUCUGAUUUAGAAAACUACAUAUUGGAACUUAUCCCUACAUUGCCACAAUUAGAUGGUCUGGAAAAAUCUUUCUACUCCUUUUAUGUUUGUACAGCAGUUAGGAAGUUCUUCUUCUUUUUAGAUCCUCUAAGAACAGGAAAGAUAAAAAUUCAAGAUAUUUUAGCAUGCAGCUUCCUAGAUGAUUUAUUGGAGCUAAGGGAUGAGGAACUGUCCAAGGAGAGUCAAGAAACAAAUUGGUUUUCUGCUCCUUCUGCCCUAAGAGUUUAUGGCCAGUACUUGAAUCUUGAUAAAGAUCACAAUGGCAUGCUCAGUAAAGAAGAACUCUCACGCUAUGGAACAGCUACCAUGACCAAUGUCUUCUUAGACCGUGUUUUCCAGGAGUGUCUCACUUAUGAUGGAGAAAUGGACUAUAAGACCUACUUGGACUUUGUCCUUGCAUUAGAAAAUAGAAAGGAACCUGCAGCUCUACAAUAUAUUUUCAAAUUGCUUGAUAUUGAGAACAAAGGAUAUCUGAAUGUCUUUUCACUUAAUUAUUUCGUUAGGGCCAUACAGGAACUAAUGAAAAUCCAUGGACAAGAUCCUGUUUCAUUUCAAGAUGUCAAGGAUGAAAUCUUUGACAUGGUAAAACAAAAGGAUCCUUUGAAAAUCUCUCUUCAGGAUUUAAUCAACAUUAAUCAAGGAGACACAGUUACCACCAUUCUAAUUGAUUUGAAUGGCUUCUGGACUUAUGAGAACAGAGAAGCUCUUAUUGCAAAUGACAGUGAAAACUCUGCAGACCUUGAUGAUACAUGAUCUCUGAAAGACUAGAUUGUCUUCAGUAAGAGAUAUUUGAAUGCUGCAUGUAAAGCCUUUAAAGCAAAAUCCUUAGAAAUGGUCAAAAUAAAACAUAUAUGUCUAGAGAAAAAAAAAAA